GACUCGCGUUUCAAAGAAUCCUUGAGAACAAGAACGGGAGCGUUCAUCUUUUAACUACCCUUCUUCUUGUAUUAACAAGGCGGAUCUUUGUAUUAAUGCCCAAUAGAAAAAACUAGUUUGUUAAAGGUUGCCAGAGUGGUGGUGAUCGACGGCAAUUAUAGGUUCUGGUCAGAAAGUCGGUGGGGAUAUCAGACGGCGGAGAAGAAAUGGCGAGGCCGACAAUGACCCUUUCCGGCAGCAUCAAGACCCACCAUCA
rnacentral:misc_RNA from 1 species